CACAGAAGCAGACCUUUCAUCGCAAGCAGCAUUGUCAGUGGAGGUCUGGCUGCAAGUCCAGUUCUGUAUGCAACUGAAGUGGGACAUCUUGGCAACCAUUUGGCACUGAACGGAAGUCGAAGUCUAGGAGGAAGCUUCCUAAGCCAAACCGGGAACGCGUUAUCGUCAAGAAAGAGGGUUGAAGCCUAUGUGGCUAAGGUACGGCGGGAACUGGAUGAAAAAAUCACUAAAGAACUUGAAGAGGCCACUGCUGAACUUGAAACCAGAUCUGCUGGAUCUUCAAGAAAUGUCCAUGUUGACCAGGAUCCCCUUUGCAGGGCAAUACAGGAGUACCGUGAUGUUCUAACCAAAAAUUAUCUGAUUUGAACAAAAUGCUAGGCAAAGGCUCGGGAAAUAAUUUUGUUUACAUAGCGCAUCUGUGGUUUCCCAUCCUUCAGAUUGUUCAGAUGUGAAAACAUGGGGUUUUUUAUUACCUGAAUAUAAAUUCUAUUAAAUGGAUGUCAAGCACGUUGCACUUACCUGAUGGUUUAUUGAUGCACAGUUGUUUUAUUUUGCACUCACGCUAAGAACCAUAUCUAUUUUUUCUGACUGGCAGAUUGACUACUUUUGACUCUUGAGCUUGACAGAACUGUCAAAAUGUUUCUUAUUAAGGUAGAUGCAUUAUUUUGCUCCACUCAUGUUCUGUGUUUUAACAAAAGCAUUCCCUUUGUUC